rnacentral:rRNA from 1 species
CUACCCUACUUCGGUAGGGUUUAGAGUCGUCGGGCCUCUCGGAGAAGCUCGGUCCUGAACUCCACCCUUGAAUAAAUUACCUUUGUUGCUUUGGCGGGCCGCCUCGUGCCAGCGGCUUCGGCUGUUGAGUGCCCGCCAGAGGACCACAACUCUUGUUUUUAGUGAUGUCUGAGUACUAUAUAAUAGUUAAAACUUUCAACAACGGAUCUCUUGGUUCUGGCAUCGAUGAAGAACGCAGCGAAAUGCGAUAAGUAAUGUGAAUUGCAGAAUUCAGUGAAUCAUCGAAUCUUUGAACGCACAUUGCGCCCUCUGGUAUUCCGGGGGGCAUGCCUGUUCGAGCGUCAUUAUAACCACUCAAGCUCUCGCUUGGUAUUGGGGUUCGCGGUUUCGCGGCCCCUAAAAUCAGUGGCGGUGCCUGUCGGCUCUACGCGUAGUAAUACUUCUCGCGAUUGAGUCCGAUAGGUCUACUUGCCAGUAACCCCCAAUUUUUACAGGUUGACCUCGGAUCAGGUAGGGAUACCCGCUGAACUUAAGCAUAUCAAUAAGCCGGAGGAAAUGUUACUAGAGCAAAGGAUAGACACUACCCUACUUCGGUAGGGUUUAGAGUCAUCGGGCCUCUCGGAAAAUCUCGGUCCUGAACUCCACCCUUGAAUAAAUUACCUUUGUUGCUCUGGCGGGCCGCCCUCUUGCCAGCGGCUUUCGGCUGUUGAGAGCCCGCCAGAGGACCACAACUCUUGUUUUUUUAGUGUAUGCUCUGAGUACUAUAUAAAUAGUUUAAAACUUUCAACAACGGAUUCUCUUUGGGUUUCUGGCAUCGAUGAAAGCAACGCAGCCGAACUGCGAAUAAGUUAAGUGUGAGAUUGCCAGAAGAUUCAGUGAAAUCAUCCGAAUCU